AAGGAUUGUCAUCAACCUUAUCACUUUCCACGACCAAAGACUCUGAAAAACAAAGAGAAAAUAAAACCAAAAACAUUUCUUGGCUGGCUUGAAGAGAUUUUAAGGAGAUCCAAGUUAAAUCAAAGCUAAAAAAGUGGAUUAAGCUUAGUUUUGGCAUUUUUAUGAUAUUUCUUGGUGGUUUCCAAGUGGUUUGAGGUUUAGAAAAGCUAGAAGAGAUUGUUUUCGCCGAAAAGUUGCUCGGAUAAGCACAUCAACACCUAAGACACUACUUGUUACACGGUGAAAUAUAUUUUGGACAGAAGGUAAGUAAAGUAUUCAACUACAAAACAAGAAUUACAUGUUAUGUGAAAGUAUGCAUUAUAUGAAUAUGUUGUGAGUAAGUGGUAUUAACAUACAUUGACACUUCAUCAUAAAUUUGUAUGCAUGACAUAAUAAUGAUAUGGUGAAUUAUUGUAUGAUAUAAGACCAUGCAUGAUUAAUUAUGUGAUGCCUUGGCAAGUUUUAUGCAACAUAAAAGUAAGUUGUAAUAAGAAGUUUAAGUUCAUUGCCACUGUUUUGAAAAGGCAAGUGAGAAUGUAAGUAAGUGUAAAC